ACAAUGGAGAGUUUGAUCCUGGCUCAGGAUGAACGCUAGCGGCAGGCCUAAUACAUGCAAGUCGAACGGUGUAGCAAUACACAGUGGCGCACGGGUGCGUAACACGUA
rnacentral:rRNA from 1 species